AUGAGCCGCCAGACUGCAACAGCGUUACCUACUGGAACCUCGAAGUGCACGCCGUCCCAGAGGGUGCCCGCACUGACUGGCACAACUGCAUCCAACAAUGACUUGGCGAGUCUUUUUGAGUGUCCGGUCUGCAUUGACUAUGUGUUACCGCCCAUUCUUCAGUGUCAGAGUGGCCAUCUUGUUUGUAGCAACUGUCGCCCGAAGCCCACAUGUUGUCCGACUUGCCGGGGCCCUCUGGGAUCCAUUCGCAACCUGGCUAUGGAGAAAGUGGCCAAUUCCGUACUCUUCCCUUGUAAAUAUGCCUCUUCUGGAUGUGAAAUAACUUUGCCACAUACAGAAAAAGCAGACCACGAAGAGCUCUGUGAGUUUAGGCCUUAUUCGUGUCCGUGCCCUGGUGCUUCCUGUAAAUGGCAAGGCUCUCUGGAUGCCGUCAUGCCCCAUCUGAUGCAUCAGCAUAAGUCCAUUACGACCCUACAGGGAGAGGAUAUAGUUUUCCUUGCUACAGACAUUAAUCUUCCUGGUGCUGUUGACUGGGUGAUGAUGCAAGUCCUGUUUUGGCUUUCACUUCAUGUUAGUCUUGGAGAAAGAGGAAAAGUACAAUGGUCACCAGCAGUUCUUUGCAAUUGUCCAGCUGAGAGGAACACGCAAGCAAGCUGAAAAUUUUGCUUAUCUACUUGAGCUAAAUGGUCAUAGGCGGCGAUUGACUUGGGAAGCGACUCCACGCUCUAUUCAUGAGAGAAUUGCCACAGCCAUUAUGAAUAGUGACUGCCUAGUCUUUGACACCAGCAUUGCACAGCUUUUUGCAGAAAAUGGCAAUUUAGGCAUCAAUGUAACUAUUUCCAUGUGUUGAAAUGGCAAUCAACAUUUUCUGGCCAGUGUUUAAAACCAUUGCAUUCAGUUUCACAGAGAAUAAGGCACCCAUCUGCCUGUCAACCUGAAACUUUUGGUAGGUGGAAGCUAGACACAUGAAGGUAAAUAAAAGGAAAGGCUGUUAAAUACAGGAAACAGUUGCAUGUAGUAACACUAAUAUAUUUAAAAAUAAGUCAACAGUAAACCACUGAAAAAAUAUAUAUAUACACCCAAGAUGGGCAUCUUUUGUAUUAAGAAAGGAAGCAUUCUAAAAUAAUUCUGAAUUUGUGUUGUAGAUUGUACUGUUGAAAAAUACUGGUUUUUUGUUUUGUGUGUUUGCCGGCGAGUUGCUGUGUGUGUGCGCGCGCGCGUGUGUGUGUGGUUUGUUUUUUUUUUUUCCUUUAACCGACAAGCCAUGUUGAGUGGUCUUGGACCACUGCUUUUCCCCUUUGUGAGUCAAUACAUAGUGCUGCUGUGUGUGUAUAUUUUUUGUGUGUAUUUGCUAAUUUUUAUUAAUUCUAGUUUUUCAUUAAAUAAAUUUGACUUUCUUUUCUGUAA